UGUGAAGUUCUGAAGGCUGGCUUCAAUUCAUGUUUUAUCUUAUAUUCAUUAAACUGUUUAUUUACUUGUCUACAUUCUCCUCUCUGUUGAUUAUUUUCGAGACAUGCAUUUCCCUUGAGCAACAUCAGAUGAGAAAAUGACUUCAUAUGCAUUGCAGAGGCGACAGAGAGACAAACAGAAAACUCAGAGGCAGUGGCUUGCUUGGAGGCCUCCAAGUGGGUCUGGCUCUUUUGCACUUCCAGCAUUGCCAUGAGAAGCAUAUGCCUGCUCAUCCAAGGGGGAUGAAAGAUACCUGGAGCGGACCUAGAUGCAACCCACAACUGGAAGCCCAGCCCAGCCCAGUCUAGAUCAUCUCAACUCCAGCCAACCUGCAGAUGCUUUCGUGAGAUUAAAUAAUUAGUUUUAAGCCACUGCGUUUUGGUGUGAUUUUGUUACAUGGCAUUAUUAUUAUAGCAAUAGCUGACUGAUAUAGGCCCCACAACAUUUAUAGGUCUUAAUUUGGCCAUGGGGAUACCAAUAUGGAUACUAAAUUAG